CCUACGGGUGACUGCAGUGAGGAAUAUUGGUCAAUGGGCGAGAGCCUGAACCAGCCAAGUCGCGUGAGGGAAGACGGUCCUAUGGAUUGUAAACCUCUUUUGUCGGGGAGCAAAAAGGCCUCGUGAGGCCACAAGUGAGAGUACCCGAAGAAAAAGCAUCGGCUAACUCCGUGCCAGCAGCCGCGGUAAUACGGAGGAUGCGAGCGUUAUCCGGAUUUAUUGGGUUUAAAGGGUGCGUAGGCGGGAUGCCAAGUCAGCGGUAAAAAUGCGGUGCUCAACGCCGUCGAGCCGUUGAAACUGGCGUUCUUGAGUGGGCGAGAAGUAUGCGGAAUGCGUGGUGUAGCGGUGAAAUGCAUAGAUAUCACGCAGAACUCCGAUUGCGAAGGCAGCAUACCGGCGCCCUACUGACGCUGAGGCACGAAAGCGUGGGUAUCGAACAGGAUUAGAUACCCCAGUAGUC
rnacentral:rRNA from 1 species